AGGGAGAUGAGAGUCCCCCCUCCCUGAUAAACCAGCAGGACCACAUCGACCAGGGGAGUAUCCCCCAAAGAAAUGGGUGUUGGGCAGACCCAGAGAACAUGAUCACAAGAUUUCAGGCUUCCAACUUCAGGAAUUUAUUUGGGAAAUUAUUUCUGAUGCAGCUACCUGUGCCUGGGGAAAGUCAAUACAGAAAAGUAACAAAAAUUUCAGGAAGAGUUUGUAACCACUCUUCACACCACGUGGGAAAAUUGUAGCCAUCUAAGCCUGAGACUCUAAGAGCUCAGACUGCCUCAAAAACUUUCUCAAUUAAGUGCUUAUCAGCAGUUGAAUGGAUUUGGCACCGUGGUAAAAACCUAUUUGUCACAUCUGUGUUUAAGACGCCACCUACCUGAAGACGCGUUAGGCACGCACAUCUCAGUAUGCUCCGUUGCAUUUCUAAAACCUGGCGUGUGGUUUCAUAAUCCAACGAGCUUUGGGAACCAAAGUGGAAAUUCAAAAUCUUAAAGACCAAUUCUAAUCUCAACGGGGAGAUUAAAAAUAAGGGCAAUUAUGAAAUAAAACUGAAGGCUGAAUCGGGCAGGUUGGAGAGGUACAAAAACACCCAAAUUAACGUGGAAAAGACACAAAUUCUGGGAAUUAAAAGCAACAGCUCCAAACUUGUUCUGUGUAUCACUCCACCAGUUUCAAAGCCACAGAUAUCACGGUGGUUCGCACAGUAAGAGUGAUCUCACUUGGAAGUGUCCAUUGAUACCGACUUCCAAUCAGAUUACGUGGGAAAGAAGUUUUUCUUCCUUACAGAAUUUCCGCAUCGACGUCAACAGCAUGAGUGAAUGCCUCACACGUGGGACUAAACUGCCUUACACAAGGGACUAAACUGUGAUAUUUUAACGUGCCUAAACUCUGAUGAAAUCAUGGAAGGCAUCACAGCAGGGAGUGAACCCCAGGGAGGCUAUUAGCAAUUCGGCAUCUCACUGAAUGUGGGAAUGUGAAUGCCUCAUACCCCUGUACAGCAAGCACCCACGAUGGUGCCACGUUGGCUUCUGUAUUUCCAAUUUACCCACCCAGAUUAUCUGAUUGCUUUCCCUCCCUCCCCCAUCCCUUUCACUCCUGGGACUCUCCAAGCAGCAGGGAUCUCUCAGGGGGGUUGAUAAGAGAGUGUGCAACAGUACAGCUAGCAGCCCUGUUUGCUGAAAAUACAGGGGAAGCGGUUUAGGCACUAAUGCCUGUUCAGGGGCUCGGAGGAGACAAUAUUAAAGCCUAGACUGGAGUUUCAAAGACUCUUUAACUCGCAGGGUGUUUGCCCUGGUGGGCAGCAGCAGGAAUUUACCCAACACCAGCCCCUGGUCCCUGACAUUUGAAAAAUGGCAGUUUUAAAAACCAGGAGCGAUUGAGUCGGUUAAGGUAUGCAUUUCACCAAAGUGCUAGAGUGGCAUCUUUAAUCUUCCUGGUUCUUG